AUGUCUCAACUAAAAGAAGCCCUGUCUAGUUUCAGGUCCAUACCACAAAUACACAAGGUAGAAAGAGUCAACCAACAAGUGUUUCAACAAGACUUGAACACAAUGAUCAUAUUCAUCCUCAUCCUGUGUGCCUUGUCAAGAGAGGCCAUGGUCCAAACCACAGCCAAGAAGAUUUUUCCAGCAAAGAUCUAUUGGACUACUACAGGAACAAUAAUGGAAGGAAGUGACCUAAUGGUAAAAUGUAGUACACAUGGGCGCAAGGAAGACAAAGUGGCAUAUGUUUACUUGUGCAUUAACGGGGUUGCAGUGGAACAGAAGAAAUCUAUACAAGAAGACACCUUUUUCACCAUGAAAAGUGUUACUGGCCAACAGACUGGCAAUUACAGCUGUGUGUUCUCUAAAACCCCGUAUCCACUCUCUGAAGUGCGGGGAAAAGGAGAUAAUUCACUUUCCAUCCAGGUGAUGGACCGUAUACUCCCUGCAGACAUAUCACUUGCAGGCUCAAGAACUGUGAGAAAGGGAGAUGGUGUGGAGUUUAAGUGUACAAUUUCAGACCCAAGUUUUCAAACACAAAAUACCAGUGACUUAGUUCACGCUUACCUCUGCAAGUAUGGCUCUGUUGUUCAGAUGCAGGUGUUUGAUGUAAAGAGCACGGAGGCAACUUUUACGAUUAAAAGUUUUAAUGAGAAUGACGCAGGUAACUACAGUUGUGUGAUUGAUCUUCAAUCCAAAACCCUCAAAGAUAAAGACAGAACAUUAUAUGGAAAUAAUGCAGUAUUUCUACAGGUUAAUGUGUCCUGGAAUCACUUAAUCACACCGGCUGUGUUCUGCGUCUGUUUUCUUCUGAUCUUAUCACUGAUAGUGGGCAUAUGGUGGCUGUUCAUUAAACAAGGUCAGGCCAUUUAACAUGGACAUUAUCCUGGAUAUACAGGUCUACUUCAUAUAGAAUAAUGUUUAUCAAACUAAUACAUUCCGUAUCUGGAUUGAAUGAACUAUCUGGAGCAGUUCUAAUAUCAUUGUUAUGAUAGUUAGCUUGAGUUUAACCAAUAAUAUUACAUGUAUUUUUUGACAGGAGCUUUACAAUGUUAUUGUGGAAGGUAAGCUUAUAGUUUUGUUGACCAUGUUAUAGCUAGUUUGUUUAGCAUGAUAAUGUAUAAUGAUUGAACGUUUCACAUGUAUAUUUCCUCCAGAACACCACAACAGGAGGAGAACGAUGUGCCAAUGACAGGGGAGGGUGACGGUAUGUUUUUUAAGCUUUCC
rnacentral:lncRNA from 1 species